rnacentral:misc_RNA from 1 species
UAACCCCCUCCGGGUAGUGGUUCUAUACCGCCGCCUAGGCCUUUAGCGCGGGGAGGUAACUAUAGCGCUCUAGCGCCGGGCCUGGUUUCCCCUACUCAAACGUGAAGAAAGCUAGCCGGCAGGGCUCUAAUUACAGCGACUUAUAAAACUUCUAACCUAUUAUAAUACCUUUGGAGCUGCCCGGCCUCUAAAAAUAGAAGGAGGAUCCCUCCUAGAC